rnacentral:rRNA from 1 species
GACGAACGCUGGCGGCGUGCUUAACACAUGCAAGUCGAACGGAAAGGCCCUGCUUUGGUGGGGUGCUCGAGUUGCGACCGGGUGAGUAACACGUGUGUAACCUGCCCUUGCCGUUAGGAUAAAUUCAUGAAACUUGGGCUAAUACCGGGUAGGAGCUCCUGCUGAAUGGUGGGCGUUGGAUAGAUUCGGUGGUUGGGGAUGGACUCGCGGCUUAUCAGCUUGUUGGUGUGGUAGUGUCUUACCAUGGCUUGGAACGGUAGCAGGCCUGGGCGGGGAACACGAUACACUGGGACUGAGCUGCGGCACGGACUCAUCCGGGACGCAACAGAGGGGAAUAUUGCAUAAUGGGAGGAAGCCUGAUGUAGCAACGCCGCGUCCGGGAUGACGGGAUUCGGGUUGUAAACCGCUUCUGCCUGAGACGAAGCGUGAGUGACGGUAAUGGGUAAAGAAGCACCGGCUAACUACGUG